rnacentral:rRNA from 1 species
AGUGAACGCUGGCGGUAUGCCUAACACAUGCAAGUCGAACGGCAGCACAGUAAGAUCUUGCUCUUACGGGUGGCGAGUGGCGGACGGGUGAGGAAUACAUCGGCAUCUACUUUUUCGUGGGUGAUAACGUAGGGAAACUUACGCUAAUACCUCAUACGACCUACGGGUGAAAGCAGUGGAUCUUCGGACCUUUCGCGAUUGAAUGAGCCGAUGUCGGAUUAGCUAGUUGGCGGGGUAAAGGCCCACCAAGGCGACGAUCCGUAGCUGGUCUGAGAGGAUGAUCAGCCACACUGGAACUGAGACACGGUCCAGACUCCUACGGGAGGCAGCAGUGGGGAAUAUUGGACAAUGGGCGAAAGCCUGAUCCAGCCAUACCGCGUGGGUGAAGAAGGCCUUCGGGUUGUAAAGCCCUUUUGUUGGGAAAGAAAAGAAGCAGGUUAAUACCCGGAUGUUCUGACGGUACCCAAAGAAUAAGCAACGGCUAACUUCGUG